GUAGAGUAAGGGCGAGCGGCCGGGGUAAUACGGAGGUGGCAAGCGUUGUCCGGAGUUAUGGGGCGUAAAGAGCGUGUGGGCGGCCGGACAGGGCUGCUGUGAAAACGCGAGGCGCAACCUCGAGAUGUCGGCGGAAACCGUCUGGCUAGAGUCCGGAAGAGGAGAGUGGAAGUCCUGGUGUAGCGGUGAAAUGCGCAGAUAUCAGGAAGAACACCUAUGGCGAAGGCAGCUCUCUGGGACGGUACUGACGCUGAGACGCGAAAGCGUGGGGAGCGAACAGGAUUAGAUACCCGGGUAGUC
rnacentral:rRNA from 1 species